rnacentral:rRNA from 1 species
CCUACGGGGGGCAGCAGUGGGGAAUAUUGGGCAAUGGGCGCAAGUCUGACCCAGCAACGCCACGUGAAGGAAGAAGGCUUUCGGGUUGUAAACUUCUUUUCUCAGGGACGAAGCAAGUGACGGUACCUAAGUAAUAAGCCACGGCUAACUACGUGCCAGCAGCCGCGGUAAUACGUAGGUGGCAAGCGUUAUCCGGAUUUACUGGGUGUAAAGGGCGUGUAGGCGGGAAAGCAAGUCAGAUGUGAAAACCAUGGGCUCAACCUGUGGCCUGCAUGUGAUACUGUUUUUCUUGAGUACUGGAGAGGGAGACAGAAUUCCUAGUGUAGCGGUGAAAUGCGUAGAGAUUAGGAGGAACACCAGUGGCGAAGGCGGUCUGCUGGACAGCAACUGACGCUGAGGCGCGAAAGCGUGGGGAGCAAACAGGAUUAGAUACCCGUGUAGUC